AAAUUGAAGAGUUUGAUCAUGGCUCAGAUUGAACGCUGGCGGCAGGCCUAACACAUGCAAGUCGAACGGUAACAGGAAACAGCUUGCUGUUUCGCUGACGAGUGGCGGACGGGUGAGUAAUGUCUGGGAAACUGCCUGAUGGAGGGGGAUAACUACUGGAAACGGUAGCUAAUACCGCAUAACGUCGCAAGACCAAAGAGGGGGACCUUCGGGCCUCUUGCCAUCGGAUGUGCCCAGAUGGGAUUAGCUUGUUGGUGGGGUAACGGCUCACCAAGGCGACGAUCCCUAGCUGGUCUGAGAGGAUGACCAGCCACACUGGAACUGAGACACGGUCCAGACUCCUACGGGAGGCAGCAGUGGGGAAUAUUGCACAAUGGGCGCAAGCCUGAUGCAGCCAUGCCGCGUGUAUGAAGAAGGCCUUCGGGUUGUAAAGUACUUUCAGCGGGGAGGAAGGGAGUAAAGUUAAUACCUUUGCUCAUUGACGUUACCCGCAGAAGAAGCACCGGCUAACUCCGUGCCAGCAGCCGCGGUAAUACGGAGGGUGCAAGCGUUAAUCGGAAUUACUGGGCGUAAAGCGCACGCAGGCGGUUUGUUAAGUCAGAUGUGAAAUCCCCGGGCUCAACCUGGGAACUGCAUCUGAUACUGGCAAGCUUGAGUCUCGUAGAGGGGGGUAGAAUUCCAGGUGUAGCGGUGAAAUGCGUAGAGAUCUGGAGGAAUACCGGUGGCGAAGGCGGCCCCCUGGACGAAGACUGACGCUCAGGUGCGAAAGCGUGGGGAGCAAACAGGAUUAGAUACCCUGGUAGUCCACGCCGUAAACGAUGUCGACUUGGAGGUUGUGCCCUUGAGGCGUGGCUUCCGGAGCUAACGCGUUAAGUCGACCGCCUGGGGAGUACGGCCGCAAGGUUAAAACUCAAAUGAAUUGACGGGGGCCCGCACAAGCGGUGGAGCAUGUGGUUUAAUUCGAUGCAACGCGAAGAACCUUACCUGGUCUUGACAUCCACAGAACUUUCCAGAGAUGGAUUGGUGCCUUCGGGAACUGUGAGACAGGUGCUGCAUGGCUGUCGUCAGCUCGUGUUGUGAAAUGUUGGGUUAAGUCCCGCAACGAGCGCAACCCUUAUCCUUUGUUGCCAGCGGUCCGGCCGGGAACUCAAAGGAGACUGCCAGUGAUAAACUGGAGGAAGGUGGGGAUGACGUCAAGUCAUCAUGGCCCUUACGACCAGGGCUACACACGUGCUACAAUGGCGCAUACAAAGAGAAGCGACCUCGCGAGAGCAAGCGGACCUCAUAAAGUGCGUCGUAGUCCGGAUUGGAGUCUGCAACUCGACUCCAUGAAGUCGGAAUCGCUAGUAAUCGUGGAUCAUAAUGCCACGGUGAAUACGUUCCCGGGCCUUGUACACACCGCCCGUCACACCAUGGGAGUGGGUUGCAAAAGAAGUAGGUAGCUUAACCUUCGGGAGGGCGCUUACCACUUUGUGAUUCAUGACUGGGGUGAAGUCGUAACAAGGUAACCGUAGGGGAACCUGCGGUUGGAUCACCUCCUUA
rnacentral:rRNA from 1 species